CAGACAGUACUGCAGGGAUCGUGGAGCUGAUCUGGUCAUUAUCAACACUGAAGAGAAGCAGAGGUUCAUAUCUUCAUUAGUCAGUGAGAGAGUGUGGAUUGGUUUGUCUGACACAGAGAACGAGGGCAUCAUGAAAUGGGUGGAUAAUUCACCACUGAAACAAGGGUUUUGGCUCAAAGGUGAGCCAAACAACACUAACAAUGAGGACUGUAUUGAACUGAAUUAUAAUAGAGGGAAGCCGGGAUGGUCACCGCUGAACAGCUGGAAUGAUGUUGCAUGCUCUGAGAAGAAAAAGGGGAUUUGUGAGAAAUAGGGUUCAUCUCCUCUUGUGGUUUUGCUUUUAUUAUCUAAUAUAAUCAUUCUUAUUGUCAAUGCUGUUUCUGAUUGAGGUCCCUGCCUUAAAAAAAAAAAAAAAAAAAAAAACAAUCAGCUGUUCUUACAUUUGUAAGAAGGACAUUGUAAAAAUGUCAUUAUUUUCUUAUUGCUAUAAUAAUCUUCAGUUUCUCAUGAUGUGAAUUUGGAUGAUCUGGGACUCCAAACCUCUGAUGUGUUCAUGUUUUGCUCCAUCACAAGCAGCUCUAUAUUAAUAUGAUCUUAUUCUAGCUGUGAUCAUGAGUCUCUUUUGUUGAUCUGAAGUGUUGAGGAGACAAUCACAGUAAACUACAGAAGUCUAAAGUGUCUAGAUUACUCUUAUUCUGAUGUUGAGUGUCUGUAAUUGCUUUCUCUCUGAAUAAAUUUGUCACUUACCAUAGUAAACUGCA